UUUUCUGGAUGUAACGGUUACAACUUAGAGGUUAGUUAUGGAUUUUGUUGCUUUUUUGUUUGAAAACUUGAACACAUUUUUUUUCUUCUUUCCAUUUUCUCCUCUUUCUUUUAUUUCAUCUGACGGUAGAAGUGAAGACCAAUUUUCUUGUUUUGUUUUUUUUGUUUUUUCUAGGUUAAUAAAGUUGAUUCCAUCUUAAACUAAUAAAUUGUAUAUUUUUACGUGUCGUAAUUGUUCAAUUACUUUUCAUUGGAGUUAAGCUAGUGAGAUGUUCAGCUAAGAUGAUGUUAAGUCGGAUAAGGAAAGACUUGCAACAUCAAAGAUAAUUUAUGGGGGUGUUAAAAUUUACACUUU
rnacentral:lncRNA from 1 species